GACGAACGCUGGCGGUGUGCUUAACACAUGCAAGUCGAACGGUAAGGCCCUUUAGGGGGUACACGAGUGGCGAACGGGUGAGUAACACGUGAGUAACCUGCCCUCAUCUCUGGGAUAACAGUCGGAAACGGUUGCUAAUACUGGAUAUGAGCUUGCAAGGCAUCUUGUGGGUUGGAAAGAUUUUUUUGGUUGGGGAUGGAUUCGCGGCCUAUCAGCUUGUUGGUGAGGUAGUGGCUCACCAAGGCGUCGACGGGUAGCCGGCCUGAGAGGGCGACCGGCCACAUUGGGACUGAGAUACGGCCCAAACUCCUACGGGAGGCAGCAGUAGGGAAUAUUGCACAAUGGACGGAAGUCUGAUGCAGCAACGCCGCGGGCGGGAUGACGGCCUUCGGGUUGUAAACCGCUUUCAAUUGUGACGAAGCUUUUUGUGACGGUAGCAGUAGAAGAAGCACCGGCUAACUACGUG
rnacentral:rRNA from 1 species